AUACGGAGGGGGUUAGCGUUGUUCGGAAUUACUGGGCGUAAAGCGCACGUAGGCGGAUUGGAAAGUUGGGGGUGAAAUCCCAGGGCUCAACCCUGGAACUGCCUCCAAAACUAACAGUCUAGAGUUCGGGAGAGGUGAGUGGAAUUCCAAGUGUAGAGGUGAAAUUCGUAGAUAUUUGGAGGAACACCAGUGGCGAAGGCGGCUCACUGGCUCGAUACUGACGCUGAGGUGCGAAAGCGUGGGGAGCAAACAGGAUUAGAAACCCCAGUAGUCC
rnacentral:rRNA from 1 species